CAGAAAAUAGUUUAAAAAAUAUUAACUUUGGGAGUUAAAGAUAAGAGGUUUCUCUUUUUUCUGA
rnacentral:tRNA from 1 species